CCCUUAGAUGUUCUGGGCUGCACGCGCGCUACACUGAUGCACUCAACGAGUUUACGACCUUGCCCGAUAGGGUUGGGUAAUCUUUUUAAAAUGCAUCGUGAUGGGGAUAGAUUAUUGCAAUUAUUAAUCUUCAACGAGGAAUUCCUAGUAAGCGCGAGUCAUCAGCUCGUGCUGAUUACGUCCCUGCCCUUUGUACACACCGCCCGUCGCUCCUACCGAUUGAGUGCUCAGGUGAAUAAUUCGGACUGCAGCAAUGUUUGGAUCCCGAACGUUGCAGCGGAAAGUUUAGUGAACCUUAUCAUUUAGAGGAAGUAAAAGUCGUAACA
rnacentral:rRNA from 1 species